rnacentral:lncRNA from 1 species
UUAUGCAAGGUGGUUGAAAGAAAACAAAAAAAAAUUGUUGGUUGAUUUGACGAGUAAGAAUGUUACAUCACAUGACUAAUUAUCGACACUGAAGGAGUAGGACGAGAAUAACGUUUCUACACAAAAAACCAUAUACAAUGCACGACAAAAGCUUCACUCGUCCCAGAAUGUCGGUAAAACUCCGAUACAGGUUCUUAUGUUGCUUUUGAAUGAUAAACAAUUUUUUACUGAGUUUUCAGUAAAUAAUAUUUCAAAUGAAUUGGAAAAUCUAUUCUUCAUUCAUCCACGACCAUUGGAUAUAUGGCGUGCAUUUCCGCACGUUUUGAUUGUAGACGCAACGUACAAAACGAACAAAUAUGAUCUGCCUUUUCAAAUUGUCGGCGUGACUUCAACCAACAAGACAUUUAGUAUAGCUUUUGCCUUUAUCAUUAACGAAAAGGAGGAGAAGUAUAACUGGGCAUUAACAUGUCUAAAGUUGACACUAGAAGAGUGCAUCUACCCACGUGUUAUUGCGACGGACAGAAAGUUCGCUCUGAUGAAUGCAUGCCAACAAGUUUUUCCUGAUAUCACUCGGUUACUAUGUAGAUGGCACAUUACUGAAAAUAUUAAAAAGCAUUGUAGGUAGUGUAUCAAGUCGCAACAUGAGUGAGACUCCUUUCGUGCUAUGUGGACUGUACUCGUUGAAUCUCCAACGUGGAUAUUGUACACCAAAAACUACAGAAAACUCCAAUCAAUGUUGAGCGAAUAUCCAGGUAUAAACCUCGCUAUUCUAUAAAUAAUUGUUUAUAGUUUUAGAAGACUUUUUAUACAUAACUAACAUUUAUAUAAAUUCAGGUGUUUUAAAAUAUCUAGAUCAAGUGUGGUUAAGCAAAUAUAAGGAAAUAUUUGUGUCGGUCUAGAUUGAUCGGCAUCUCAACUUUGGAGAACGAACUAUGAAUAGAGUUGAGAGCCAUCAUGCAAAGCUAAAGAAAUACCUUAGUGCAAAAAAAUUUUCUCUAGAUAAAUUUUUUGGUUGUAUCGAUCAGAUUGUGAAGUCUCAACUUACAUCGAUAUAUGAAAGUUUUGAAAAGAGUAGAACUAUCCUCAAACACAAACACAACUUACCGUGUUUUAGAUUAUUGUGGGGUUUUGUGGCACUAGAAGCUCUAGAUAUCAUAGAAGGGGAACUUCAGUGGUUAUGUAGACAUUAACUUGACUCUUCAAACUGUGGUUGUAAACUACGUCAUAGUUGUGGGUUACCAUGCGCUUGCAUGCUAUCAGUCUACUUGAAUUUAGGUGGUACAUUUAACAAUUAUUUUCUAAAUUUUUAUUUAUAUAUUGAAUUUUUAUAAAAUAAUGACAUUUCAAUGCAUGUGAGUGUAUUCCGUUGGAUUUAAUAGAUGUAUUCUAGAGGAAGCUUGACUUAUCACCAUCAACUUCUGUGGAAAAUGAAGAUAUUUGUUGUGACGGUGAGUUAAAAUUGUUCAAAGAAAACUUCACUAAGCAAUCAAAAGCCGGGAAAAAAAUUCUAUUAAGAAAGUUAAGAGAUAUAUUCCAGCCGAGUAAAACACUCAUUAAAGAACUUACAAUUCAAAAAAAUACGCGUGAACGACCAACCUUGAAGAAAUAACAACAAAAACGAGUCGAUUCUAUAAGUCAAGCUUCCAGAAGACGUAGUCAUUCAACCACGUCAAAAUCAUCUGUUGGGUUGGAUCUGGUAGAGUUGAACAAAGAACCUGCAAGACAUAGUUCAUACGUAAUCAAAAUUCCAAACUUAAACUAGGAGCCAUCAGAGCAAGUUUCAGACUUCAUAGAUUUAAACCAGAUGUCUGAAUCAUGUAACACUCAUCCACUAAUGAAAGAAAUUCCAGAUAUGUUCCACCCUUACAUCACACAUGUACAAGAUGUUAGGGGUGAUGGAAAUUGCGGAUUCCGAGCAAUAUCUAUUUGUCUUGGUUAUGGCAAAGAUCAAUGGCUCUAUGUUCGACAUCAACUGCUAGACGAGUUAUUGAGUUCAUAUGAUAUCUAUGCUAGAGUUUUCACUGAUGGAAUCGAUGAAUUACGUAAUUCACUGUGUUUCUCAGAAUCGCCUGCACCAGCAGAACACUAGAUGGUUAUGCCUAUGACAGGUGUCCUGAUUGCCAAUAGGUUUUGGGUGAUCCUCAAUUAUUUAACCAAGCGAGGUGACAUAACUUUCUUUCCUCUUUGGAGAGGUCUGGAACAUUUUCAAUACCAUCAUGCUAUUACAAUUGCACAUGUAUAUGAUAAUCAUAAUGUGAUGGUACAAUUAAAAGGAGAUUACCCAAUGCCUACCAUUUUGGCUUAUUGGAUCCGCCAUAGAGCCCCGUCUACAGCUGGAUGACAAACCAUGUAUAUGUCACGUCUAGAAUUUUAUAGACAACUGAAACCUUGUAAUCUCAAAACAUCUAUUAUAACUAUAGAGGAUUAUUGUUGAAUAAUAUUAUUUUAUUAUAUUUUAGCAUUUUGCUCAUAUUUUUGUAUUUAUGUAUUCAUAUAUAUGUUUAACAAUAAUCCUAUAAUAAAAAAAUAUGUUGAAUAAUAAUACUUAUAUCUUUAAUAAUAAUACAAUAUUAAAAAUAUUUAAUAAUAUUUAAUAAUAAUACAAUAAUAAAAAUAUGUUUAACAAUUAAAUGAGAUAAAAAAGUGGGUGGAGAGGUGAUAAUUAAUUCUUAAUCAUUACAGUAGAAAGAUGUUAAUUACUAACCAAUCAAUAAAGUAAAAGAACAUUAAUUAAUAACUAAUUAUUAAUUAUAGUAAAGGUGUGUUGUUUAUUAGGGUGUUUUUUUAGUAUGUUGGGGGUGUUUUUUUAGCCAACUCCUAAAAAAAAUAGCUAGUUUUUGUUUCUAUAUAAACCCAAUUCUUUUCCUCAUUUUUUCAUUUAAAUUCAUUUCUAUCAAUUCUCUCAAUAGUUUAGUUCUAAAAUUUUAAUUAAAAUUCUCUCAAGUUCGUCUUCAUUUAAUUCUAUUUUUUUAUUUUUAUUCGUUUUAAUUCAAUUUUGGAAUGACAAAUACUCUUAUUUGUUUCGAUGACAACCACAUUUCUGCAAUUCAACUACAAAUUGUAAGAAAAUAUUUCUAAUAUUUAUAAUUAUAUUUAAGUUCAAUAUUAAGUUGUUAAAAAGGUUAGAAUGCUCACACGACCAUGUGAACCAAAUCAGUGAGUUACACAGUCUAUGACACAGCCAUGUGUCAUUAAUUCGAAUGCUCACACGGUCUGAGUUGUGUCACAUGGCCUGGUCACACAGCCGUGUGACCCCUGUCUUUUCCAAAUUUUCAAGUUUUUCCUAAAAUUUAUGUUGUGAUUCAUUUUGAUCCUCAAUUGCUUUCAAACUAAUUUUAGGGCACCGAAAACCCGAAUUAAGGCCCAUGUGAAUAUUCAUUUUAUGAAAUUAAUUGAAUACUUGCUCUGAAUUAAGAUAAAUUGUUCUGUUUGGUUCUGUAAAACUCCGAUCCUUAAUUUUAAAACGGAGACGGGAUACAGGUGUUACAAGCAACUUUUUAAAACUUUAACAGUUUCAUAAAUUGGUACAUAGGCUAGCUAAAUCAAGCACUUAUGACCCCUGUCAAAACCACUUUUUUUUUAUAAUUUGAAAAAUGGGGAUCGACUUUGAAGAUGAGAAUUGGAGUCGCCACCGAUCUUUUAUUAAGGUAUGAUCGGUUCACCAUUAAAAUAAAUUUUAGGUCUGCGAGAUUUGAGAAAAUAGGUCCGGGAGUCGGUUACGUACGAGGAAGGGUUAGCACCCUCGUGACGCCCAAAAUUGGUACCGCAUUGAUUGUUUAAUGUCUUAAUGUCAAAAUUUUUAAGAGAUUUUAAAAUACAACCUUUUAAAAAGAAAAUUUGAAUAUGAUAAUGUACCCUUAUCUUGCAAAAAUAAAUUGCCACACUCAGUGAGUUAGGGUGCAACAAUUCGAUCUUCAAAAUUAGAUUUGUCCCCUUUUUAAGAAAAUCAUAUAUUCGAAGAAGGAUAUUUGAUUAUUUGAGUCGAUCGGGAAAUCCGAACCCAAUAAGUUAGGGUUCAAUUCUCUCGAAAUUCUUAAACAUCAAACAUUGCCUUUAUUUUAAAAUUGAGAUAACAAAAUGUCGUAUCCAGUAAGUUAGGAUCCAACAUUUUGAAAUCUUAAGAAUUUUAUUUUAGAAACCACAAGGUUUUUUUUAUUACCAAAGAGAUGCUCGAUUACCCAAAUUCAUCAGAAAAAUUGAAGCCCAAUAAGUUAGGGCACAAUUCUCUCGUGAAUUAUGAAUGUCGAGUAUUAUAACAUCUAAAAGGGAUUUCAAAACUUAAACCAUAUUAAACAAAAAAUUUUAAUAAAAGAUAUUCGGUGGAAUAAUGUACAAUAUUAAGCAGUCAUUUGUAAUCAAAAUGCAAUCUAAUGAUCUACGAAUAAUUAACAAAUACAAACAAGCAAUACAAUACACCCAAAAGCAAUUUUCACAUCAUAUAUUAUGUUAACAUUUAAAAGCUAAUGAAUCUAAAGUCCAUCAAAACACUAAAUAAAUUAAUGCACAUGAAAAUGUACAAAAUUUUAAAAUAAUUUAAGAUGUAUAAAAAAAGAAAUUAUGAUUCAAAUAAAUUAAAAAUAAAUAUUAUAUAUAAGAAUUUGAAAUAAAUCACAAUUAUAGUUAAAAAAACAAUUGUCAAAUGGAAUAAUAAUACCCGAAUAAAUAAAAAAUGUCAUAAUUAAAAAAUAACAUAUAUUUAUUAAUUUAAAUAAAUAAUAUUUGUAAAAAAGGGAUAAUAACAUAUAAUACAUAAAAUGAAAUAAGUGAAAUACACCAAGGAGGCUUUUUUAAUGGAAUAAAUUACGUAUGUAUUAAUAAUAAGUAGAAAAUACAAUAAUAAAAUCAAUAAUAUACAUUUAUAUGUAAAAUAAACAUAAUUUUAUAUAAAUUAUAUAUACAUAUGUGUAUAAAAUAGUAUUAUAAGGGCAUUAUUAAUUUUUUAAAGCACAAAAGUAUAUGAAUAAACAUUUAAAAAAUGUAUUAUAAAAUAUAUAAAUAAUAAUUAACAUAAAAUAUAUGCUAAUAUAUUAGAAUAUAAAAAAAUUUAAAAUAACGAUGUGUAAUGAAAUAAAAUAAUGUAUGUGCAUAUAUAUGUGAAAAUAAGUAACUAUGUAUGCUAAGAUAAUAAUAAUAACAAUAAUAACAAUAGUAAAGAUAAUAAAUGAAAUGAUUUUAGCAAUAAUAAUAAAACAAAGGACAAAAUUGGUAAUAAAGCAGUAAUGCAGGGGAGAAAUCUAAACCAAAUAAAAGAACGGGUCCAAAUCGCAAAGCGCGAAUGACAUAGGGCACCGAAAGGGGAAUAUUCUCCACCCUCCAAAACGUGGCGUUGCACGCUGGACCAAAAUGAAAUGAAAACAGAAUACGAGGCCAAAUCAGGAAGAAAGAAAACACUUGAUUCGAAAGCACCAGAAAAGGGAAGGGGUUGGCCGUGCAAAUAUCCCUCCCUAAGCCAGAACACACGGAUCUAGCCGCGUCUGGGUCGGGUCAUCGGGUCGUGGCCUAAACGGCACCGUUUCAAGGCCAUUGAAUCCGGCCCAAAUGGUGUCGUUUCAUGAUUUCCCACUUAGCCAACAUUAAAACUAUAUUACCCUAAGCAAAAAAGAAAAGAAAGCCCUAAAAAAAACUAAUCCCCUCCAUUCAAACGACGCGUCGCUUCAGCCUCCUUUCAUCCCGUUCCAACUCCGAUUACAGCGGAGUGAACCAGGAUCCAACGCUCCCACCUCGAAGGUGAGUUUAUACUUCUUUCUUCCUCUUACUUUCGUCCUUCAAUCAUUAAAAAAAUGAAUAUGGAAAAAAAAACAUGAAAACAUCAUCGAAAAAGAAAAUCGAAGGAGAAUCACCUUUCGAAAACCCCUUUCUCUUUGAUUUCUGAGUAUUUUUUACAAUAAGUGUGCUCUCUUUUUUUGCCCUUUUUUUUGUAUUUCAAUCCGUCUGUUUACAGCAUUCGAAUGGCCUUUUAUGGCCCGUAUUACAAAAUGAAAUGAAAAGAAAAAAAAAGAAAAAUGUUCCCCCCCAAAUCCCCUCUGUUGCCCCUAUUCUGCUAUCUUUCUCUGUUUGUUUUCCUGUGUAUUUUACAGGUACGAGGGCAGAGGCCGACAUGGCGUGUACGGAGGCAAAACGAGCAGUGGUGGCGUAUGUGCGAAGGCGCGCACGCUGGCAGAGGCUCGGCACAUGGGGACGAAGGCCAUGGCGGCGCUGGAAGCCAAAUGUUGCUAGGGUUUCAGUCUCGGUUCGGGCUGGGUAUUGGGUUUGUAAUGUUUUUAUGGUAAUUGGGCCGUUUGUAAAUGGAUUGUUUAUUGGUUUUUAUUUUAUUCAUUUAUUUAUUUAGUUUACUUCACAACAGGCCAGGCAGAUUGGGCCUAUUACAACCCCAAAUCUAUAAAUAUUACAAGAAAAGAACUUGAAAUAACAUAUUUAAGUGUAGUGGUAUAUGGAAGUAAAGUGAAUUUCAAAGUGAGAAUAUAAUGAUUAAUGAAAAUGGACUAAAUUGAAUGAUAUGCAAAAAUUUAGAAUUAAGAUAAAUUUUUGUUCUGAUCUGGGAAAUGAAGUAUUAUGAGAUAGUGUGUUAUAUAUUUCAGGUGUCAAUGAAGUAUUAUUAUAGUGCUUAUUGAAUUUUUAUAAUAAGGACUAAAUUGAAAAGAAUUCAAAAGUAUAUAAGUUCUGUUUUGAAAUGUAAAAGUGAAGCUAAUUUUGAUAUAUUUGCCCAAGUAGACAAGAUGUAAACUUGUGGGAUAUAGAUGGCAUGACAUUAUGAAACAUUCGGCGCGCUCUCUAAUUUGUUAAUGCACUUCGGUGCCACUCUGUUUUGAUAAAGCACUUCGAUGUUAUUCUAUUCUGAUAUUGUACUUCGAUGCCACUCUAUUCUAUGAUUACACCUCGGUGAAACUUUGUAUUAUUUCUGUAUAUCCAACAUGUUCUAUUAAGUCUACAUUUGGCAUAUGUUAAAUAAUAAAGGACAAAAUAAAGUUUCAUUGAGGAUUGGGCUCUUCACAUCUCAUCACAUGUUAAGGACUUUAAGAUAAGUAUGGAAUCUUCAAAACUUUGGUUUAGAUUAAUGGCACGUACAUGGGUGAGCAAUAGCAUAAGAAAUGAGAUGUUUAGAUAUACUUAUACUCGUGUUAUAUAUAGUAUUUGGAGCGUUAAAUACAAUAUAUUACGUGGUUUAGGAGUCUUGGAUAAUGUUUGGACUGAUUAUAAGCAAAUUUGGUAUGGUUUAGAAGUGUUUGAAAGUAGAAAUUUCAGGUUCCCUAUCUCAGGUCUCGAGACAUCAAAACUUUGAACCUAAAAAUCUAUAGUAACAAUGCCAUGUCUCGAGACAAAAGCCCCAUUGUCUCGAAACCUACAACCUAUUAUCUCAAGAUCGGGCAACUUUGAACCCAAAUUCCUAUAGUGGCAUGGCAAUGUCUUAAGGCAUGAGGGCCAUGGUAUCGAGACAUACGGAUUUACAAGGCAAAACUUUCAAUUAGGUGUUAUGAGACCCUAAACAAAUUUUACAUACAAUUAAUCUUUAUUAUUAGUCAAAUUAUGUUCCUAAAAGCAUAAUAAGGGUAUGGAAUCAUUUGUAAAAAGUCUAAUUUAAAAGUAUUUGAAUUCAUAAGUGAAUCUUUAAUGUUAAAUGUAACACUCGUUGCUCGAGCUUACUCUAAUAACGGGUGUUAUAGCACAUAUCUAUUCAUUGAGGAAUGUAUUUGUGAGUAUAAUUAAGGGUAAAUAAAUUGUGUUUACAGUUUAAAUUCUCAGGGGGGAGUUUAGAUGUGAGUGUUGUAACCUUUAGGUACAAAGGUGAGACCUCUAUACUUGGGAAGUGAUAGAAUGUAAUUCACUUGUUGUAUUGGUGAUUAAAGAUAGUGGAAUUACUUACUGAGCUAGACUCCGUAGAUGUAGGGAAACUGAAUUGUGUAAACAAAUAUUGGUGUUCUUUGUUAUUUUGUUCACACAAUUUUCACAAUGAUAAGUCAUAAUGGCUAGUGCAAUCAGGCGCUUUUAUUCAACUUAGACAGUUCAAGCAAUUAAUGACUUUAGGUCUCAAUAAGUUACAUAAGUAAACAAAGUUUGAGGAAAAAAUUAGUCCCUAUAUUAAAUGAAGUUAGUCAUUUUGUCACACUAGCUCUAAUUUUUUUUUGGAUCACUUUGGCACUCAACAUUUAAAUUUUAGUCAAAUUACUUUUAUUAGAUGGAAAAGUUGAUCGAGCUAUGAAAAACUUAACCACAUUGAUGUGGCAACUCAAGUGUCAAUUCAUGUGUACUUCAUAAAAAUUUAAAAUUAUUAACAAAAUUUAAAGAUGUCAGAAAAAUCUGUAAAAAAAAAAGUAUCCAUAACAACAAUGAAUUACACAUAGACUAUCAAGCGAGCUGUCACAACAGUACUGUUAAAUUUUAAAUAAUUCAAUAAACUUUUUUAUUUAAAAAUAUAACAAUUUAACUAAAUUUUAAAGAUUAAGAGCAAAAAUAAUCCUUAAAAAAUAAAUAUUAAAACUAAAACAAAUAAAUACUAAAUACUAAAAUAUUCAUUAUGUAAAAAUUAAAUUUCAAAUUUAAUGAAAAGAAAGACUUACCACAUAUUAGUAGUUGCAACAUGGUAAUGAGCAUGAGGUCUCAUAUUUUACCCAUUCCCCAAAAGGUUCAAAAUCCAAGAGAGUGUAGGAAAAGAGUUGAAUGGAUAUGAAAGUGUUGGUCAAGUGGUGAUGGUUCCACCUUUAGUGUUUUUGGAUGGAUUGAUCUCCAACUUCUCCUAUAAUCUAUUGGGACAUUAAUUCCUAUUUUUACAUUUAUAGGUAGACCUAACUAAUUUUUCAAACUUUUAAAAUAUCUCCCAAAUAUACAAACUCAUUCCAAUCUUAUGAAAUAACAACUUCAACAAAACUAUGAAGUGCUAAUUCAAAAAGAUGCCUACCUACCUAUUCUUGAUUUGGAUUUUAAUUUGUUUCACAAGUUUCCCAUCCAACAUACUUCUUACUCCAUUGUUUCUUUAUUAUGUAUUUGAAAUUUGUAAAAGUUAUGAAUUUAAUUUUUGUAUUUUAAUUUAAUUAAUUUUAAUCUAUUUAUUUUUCGAAUCAGUCAGAUUUAGUUUAUGUUAUUUUAAAUUUUGAAAUUUUAGGCUUUACCCAAACGGUAACUGUUAAAUUUAAUUACUAGUCUUGUACUAUACAUACAGUAAUAGAUUUAGUCCAUAUUUUUCAAUUGGAUCAUUUUAAGUCGUGAAUUUUGAAAUUUUAAUCUUGACGCAAAUAACAGUCGUUAAUCCAUUAACUGAAAUUUUUAGUGAGUAAAAUGUGGAAAUAACAAGCUGAUAUGGCGUUACACAUAUAAUAAUAUGUUUGGUGUAUCAGAUUAUGGAAGUAACACAUAUAUCAUUUGGUGAUGACUGAAAUUUUAAAAUUUAAAAAGUAUAUAAACUAAAAAUGACCAAAUUAAAAUAUAAAAACUUAAUUUACAAUGUUUACAAAGUAUAGAAACUAAUAGCAUAAUUUAACCGAUAAACAACAAAACCUAGCUAGCAAGUUACAUUCAGGAAGAACAUUUGAUUUUGAAUUUAGUUCAAAAGGACCCUUCAAUAUUUCUUUUAAAUGAAAUUUCUCAAAUCACCCACAUGUUGAUAUACAUUAUUAUUAUUAUUUUUUGUAAAAACAUAAAAAAGGAAAAAAUAAUAAAUGACAAUUUUUAUUAAUUCAAUAUAUUACAGAAUAUGAGAAUGGAAAGAUAUUAUCUUUUGAAAUAAUAAAAUUAAAUAUAAAAAUUUUGAAAUAAAUGAUAACAUAACAUAAAAUUAUAUAAGAAAAAUAAUUGUUCAUUAACAUAAGGUUCCAAAUUACAUAUAAAGAAGCAGUCAAAACUGAGUUUGCUAUAGCAUGAGCUUGAACAGGUAAUUGUGAAUUUGUUUCAAGCACAAUGUUGUAGCCCAUUCUGUUUCCAAGCCCUCAUAGAGACCUCCAAUCACAUAUCACACAGUAGUAAAGGAGAGCUUCAAUUAUCAGAGUUGAGUUCUCUUCUCCUGGACAAUAGAAAAGCUGAGAUUAAGAUGAUAGUUUGUGUUGUAAGUAGUAAAGACCUAGAAGCUUUACCAUUUCCCUCAAUUGCUUUUGCAAUAUGUUCCCUGGAAAGCCCCAUUCCAAUGGGAGAACAAUGAAUCUAACUUUUCCCAUUCUUACAGGCUUUGUUUAUUUUCAAGCAUUUCUUUCCUUGUUGGGUUCACGGAGCUUUAGCUAUGGAUUUGUAAGAAAUAGCACAAUUAAGGCCAUUGACAAGUUUUAGCUGGACUGACACCACCAACUAAAUAGAAUACCAAUGAAAGAUUCAAGUUAUUUUUCCAUUCGGAAAUACAGAUGAAACCUAGGAAAUGGACUCCACACAGGAGCUGUCCCAUAGAACAAAAGCCUAAAAGACCUGCCCAAAACACCGGCAAAAUUAACGAAUCACUGUAACAAAAUGCAAGAUCCCCACAACUGCAGUGAGUCAUCCAUUGAGUUGUAGCUUGAAGGCUUGGAUUUCGGCUUGGGACAGAAAUGGUGACCAAAGAAGCAAAGAAAGGAAAAAAGAUGAGACCUGUACUCAUUGGUUAACAAUGGCAAAGCUUGGUUGUACACUUCUUUGGCCCUCAAAAUGAAAAAUUAAGUCUUCAACUAAAUUGGAAAUAAUUAAAAAAAUUCAAACAAAAUGGAAGAAGUCCCUUUGUGUUACCUCAAGUGGAACAAAUGAUGAGGAGGAAUAUUUUACAAUUGUAUGGCCUUCACAUCCCAGGUUGUGUCCUAGUUGCAACUGACUCAGACAACUCGAGUGAUAGUGGUGCUGAGUAUAUUGUUGAUUUUAUGGAUACUUAUAAAACUAUGCUAGCUAAUUCGGACUAGGUGUGAAAGAUUAAUGGGAGGUUGACUUAUGAGAAUUCCAUGCAGACACGAGAAUGGGGGCCCAAACUAGAAGCUACCUUGAAGGAAUCGACAACUGCACAGUCUGUGACACGAGUAUGGGCCCAAAUUCCAGCCUAAGAAUAUGUUGUUCUUAACCUUUUAUAAGGUCAAUUUGACAACCCCAAAAAAUAGCAAAAUUUAAAGCCAAACUUUGGACGUGAGACAAUGCGCGGAUGAGAUAAAUUUUAUGAAUGAAUUUUAUUAACUUACAUUCAUAAAACAUCUUGUUUUUCAAGCUCAAAAGAUUAGUUGACUUGUGAUGAGCUUUUGGAUGAAUCCAAACAUUUCUAGGUUGAGAUUCUUUUAUUAUGUUUGAAGAGUUAUCUCUUGUCUUCGAGACACACUUUGAAUCACCUGAUUUCAAAUCUUAAAACUCAAGUUAUGACAAUUUUAGUGAAGACUGCACGAUUUUGCUGUACGGGAUUAUUACGAGAAAUUAUGAGCUUCGAGCUUUAAUUCGAGUUUAAAUCAUAUUGAGUUUGAUUUUAAGGCUCAAUUUUAACUAUAUGAACCCAAAAUUGUAUUUGUUAAAUUUUUUAUUUUUUUUAUUUUUCCAAAAUUUGUGACGUUUUUAGGUAUUUAAAGUUGUUUACAAGUUUUAUAUUUCUUAGUUAACAAGAUAGUUUAGUUCCAUUAGAACUAGUGUCAUUAUACUUAAGAGUUUUAUUUUGAUGUAAUUAACUAGCUUAUAUAAAGGCUUCUUCAUUAUUCAUUAAACACACCACCCAUUGAAUAAAGCUUUUUUUUCAACUCUUUGAAUUUUAUCUUUGCAAGAUAGCUUUCUUGUGAUUUGUAAAAGUAUUUUCUUCUAAUGCAUAUCCGGACUAUCCAAGUUUGAAAGUUAUUGAUUGACAUGUCCAAAACAGCAAAAAAAAAAAAAAACCUUUUCAAGGUUUUUCAUUUCAUGAAAGAUUUUAAUUGCAUGAUUUUCUGUACUCAAAGAUUAGGUCAUUGAAUAUUUUUAAAAUAAGAAAAAAAAUCAAAAUGAUUGUUUUGUAAUAGCUUAAAAAUUAUAAUUUUUCUUAGAGUAAUUUAAUUAAAGAAUAUGAUAUUAAUUUAAAAUAUGACAGUUGGAUUUAAGCUAACUUGAUUUUUUACCAUAUUCACAAAGAUGGCACUAGUUUAAAAUGGGCACAAUAAGAAUGAUGUUAAAUACUCUUUUUAUUUAACGAGUUUUGGAGGUACGUUGAGGAAUAUUAAAAAUGUGUCUUUUUUUUAAAUUUUAGAAAUAGAAGUAAAUUGAAAAGUUUUGUAAAAUUUGAUAACUAAAUUCAUUGGAUUUUUACAAUUCAAACUAAAAUGACAAAUUUUGUAAACAUAGAGUGCUAAAUUUGUUGAAUUUUUUAGAUUUAUGAUUAAAUUGAUAGAAUGCGUAAACAUUGGAGAGCUAAAUUUGUUAUUAGGCCAAUAUAAUUGUGUUUUUCAUGCAUGUAAACUUUUGAACAAAUCCGAUUUUUCUUUCAUAUCGACCUAAAUCAUUCUCUCUCUCUCUCUCUCUCUCUCUAUAUAUAUAUACAACGAUUGAAAUUUCUUUACAUAAAAUAAAUAGUUAGAAAAUUUAAAUUUACGUCAAAUAUGACAUACAUGAAUACACCAUGAAAUAUAACGGUUGGAUUGUUAAAAUACUACUUUAGUUUUUACACUGUGUGGGUCCCUCCCUAUAUAGAGUUACACAUCAUAAAAACUUACACACUUUCAUAACUAAUUUAUAUGAUUAAUAUUUUAAUGAUCCAACCGUUGAAUUUAUCAAUAUAAUUGUAUUUGUCAUGCACGUAAACUUUCGAAUAAAUUAAUAUCUCUAUCAUAUUGAUCUAAAACACUAUAUAUUAAUAUAUAUUCAAGGGUUGAAAUUUUUUACAUAAAAAAAAACAGUUAGAAAUUUUAAAUUUACAUUAAAUUUGACAUACACGAUCUAAAUGAAUAGACCACGAAAUAUAACGGUGGGAUCAUUAAAGUAUUAAUCAUAUAGACAGUUAUGAAAAUGUGUAAAACUAUUUUAGUUUUUACACUAUGUAAGUGGAUCCUCCCUAUACAGAGUUACACCGUGUAAAAACAAAAGUAGUUUUACAUGCUUCCGUAACUAUCUAUAUGAUUAAUAUUUUAAUGAUGUAAUCGUUGAAUUUAUCAACAUGCAUGUAAAUUUUCAAACAGAUCUGAUAUCUCUAUCAUAUUGAUCUAAAACACUCUAUAUAUUAAUAUACAUUCAACGAUUGAAAUCAUUUUUAACAACAUUAAUUGAAAAUAAAAUAUUUAUAAAACUAUAAUUAUUUAUAUAUAAUAAAUAUAUAAAAUCAAUAAUUAUUCAAAUCUAUAAAAUUUAAAUUUAGUGAUAAUAUAAAAUAUAGAUUAUAGUAAAAGAUAGACUUAUAUAAUAUUAUAAUGUUUAAUCAUCAAUGCAUAUAUAAAAAUUAUUAAUAUAUUAUAUAUCAAACGAUACAUUAUAUGAUAUAGUAGAAGAGUUUACUUUCAAAUGUUCGAAGAAUAUAGAGUACUGACUUUUACAAAUUGCAUUUGGGUAUUGAGUUAAAUUUCUUUUUAUUUUUUACUUGAGAUUUGUGCUAAAAUUAAUAAUGAGUAAAUUAGUAUAAUAUAUUUGAGUUUUGGAAUAAAUAUUUUAGAAAUGAGUAUUAGAUUUAUAAAUUUAAUAAGAAACACAAAAGUUAUUUAAUUUUUAAUAUAAUAUAAUAUAAUAAUAAACAAUAAAAAACAUUUCCGUUAAGUGACAUACAUAUCAUACAAUAAGCACUUCAAUUAUUUUAUAUAAAAGAGCUAUAUUAAAUAUAUAUGAUUUAUAUUUUUAUAAGACAAAUUUGAGUUGUGUUGUCAUCGUAUUAAAGUAAAAUAAAUUAUUACAUACUAAAUUAAAAACAUUUAUAAUUUCAAUCCGUUAGAGCUCGCCCAAUUUUAAAAAAUUUUGAGUUCAAAAAAUUUCAAAUAUAAAAAGACUUGAAUCCAAAAAAUCUAAACUCAAAAUAAUCAGGUUUGCCACCUCGAAUCACAUGAAAUGUCAAUCGUUGGGCGAAACAUGCGGGUUUCCGGCUUUGUUAAACUACUUUGUCCCAACCCGUCUUAAAAGUUCCAACUUAAGAAAGCCCAAAAUAAAUAACAAUAAGGAAGUAGAAUUGGUGCUUACAACAAAAAAGUGAGUGGUUGAGUGCCCUUCUAAUCUUACCACAAAAUUGAUUAUUUUUUUAAUAAUUGUGAGAGGAGAGAGAAAUUGUUUGGUAUCGAAUUUAAAUUUGUAUAGUUAUAAUGUAAUGUUCUUGUAAAUUUUAAAAGAUUUAUUCCAUUAUUAAUAUACACAAAUUCAAAUAUACUGAAAUGUAAGGAUUGAAGAAUAGUUACAGAACCACAAAGUAGAGAGUGGCAGGCUGAUAAACUAGGAAGAAAGUGAAGUGGGAAAUUUUAUUUUCAUCUAUUACCGAUACCCGAGUAUAUAAUAGACCACAAGCAUCAAAUGUGGAAAACAUGACAUACAUUACUCGCUAGAAAAGAAAUAGAAACGGGUGUCACCACCACAAAAAAGUAGAAAUGCAAUAAAAUUAACACAACAUAGUGGAAGACGAAACAGUGCUAACACAAUAACCAGCAGUAGGGUAAAAGUUUUAUGCAAGGAUUUCCUCCAAUGGCUUGGCUUCAAGCUUGGGCUUCUCAUUCUCAGCCUCCUUCUCCUUCAACUGUUGCUGCUCUUUGGCCAGCUUCUUCAGCCUGGCAAGCUCAAGAUCCUUGCUCAUCUUCCUCCUAUACAUCUCAGCAAAUGUGAUGGGCUCCUCAAGGAUUGGUUUCUCUCCUUCUCUGAUCUUCAAGGGAUACACUGUGGCAUCGGGUGCUGGAUUUUGGAAUGUGGCUAUUGACAAUCUGCUGCAGUUUGAGUUCACCACUGCUUGGUGAUCAGCAUUCUUGAACCUCCCAUUGCUCAGAUACUGCUCACCAUCAAUUAUUUCAGUCAUUACUCCACUCUCACAUAAAUCAUAACAAUUUCAAUUUUUUUUCCAAGUAAAAAACUUACAUGGCCAUGGUCUCCAAGGUUGACCACAAAGGCUCCUUCCACAGGUUGGACAGUGAUCCACGUCUUGCCAUUGUCCCGGGUGGCCUGAAGCCCACCAACUUGGUCUUGAAGCAAGAGUGUGAUGGUGCCUGGGUCAGUGUGGCGCUUGAGUCCUAAAGUGAGGUCAGGUUGAGGGCAUUUAGGAUAGAAGUUAACCACCACUUUCUGAUCCAUGUCCACACAUGCCUUAGUCAAAGCCUCCUUCUCUAAACCCAUGGCCUCUGACAACACCUCAAGAAGCUUGCAAGCUAGGCCCAUCAACCUCUCGCUGUACUCCUUUGUAACUUCAAUCCAGCCCUCUGGCUUAUCAGGCCACCUUGAAUAGUCCCUGCUCUUCAAUGGGUAUGAAAAGUAUGUCACAAUCUCCCGCCAAUCUUGCACUGCUUCUCCCUGGC